rnacentral:rRNA from 1 species
GACGAACGCUGGCGGCGUGCCUAAUACAUGCAAGUCGACCUUAGUGGCGAACGGGGGAGUAACACGUGGGUAACCUGCCCAUCAGAAGGGGAUAACACUUGGAAACAGGUGCUAAUACCGUAUACUGAUGGAUGGACCCGCGGUGCAUUAGCUAGUUGGUGAGGUAACGGCUCACCCAGGCCACGAUGCAUCGCCGACCGGAGGGGGGGAUCGGCAAAAUUGGGACUGAGCCACGGCCCAAGUUCCUACGGGAGGCAGCAGUAGGGAGUCGUCGGCAAUGGACGAAAGUCUGACCGAGCAACGCCGCGUGAGUGAAGAAGGUUUUCGGAUCGUAAAACGCUGUUGUUAGAGAAGCGGUAUCUAACCAGAAAGCCACGGCUAACUACGUGCCAGCAGCCGCGGUAAUUC